rnacentral:rRNA from 1 species
ACGAACGCUGGCGGCGUGCUUAACACAUGCAAGUCGAACGGAAAGGCCCUGCUUUUGUGGGGUGCUCGAGUGGCGAACGGGUGAGUAACACGUGAGUAACCUGCCCUUGACUUUGGGAUAACUUCAGGAAACUGGGGCUAAUACCGGAUAGGAGCUCCUGCUGCAUGGUGGGGGUUGGAAAGUUUCGGCGGUUGGGGAUGGACUCGCGGCUUAUCAGCUUGUUGGUGGGGUAGUGGCUUACCAAUGCUUUGACGGGUAGCCGGCCUGAGAGGGUGAACGGCCACAUUGGGACUGAGAUACGGCCCAGACUCCUACGGGAGGCAGCAGUGGGGAAUAUUGCACAAUGGGCGGAAGCCUGAUGCAGCAACGCCGCGUGCGGGAUGACGGCCUUCGGGUUGUAAACCGCUUUCGCCUGUGACGAAGCGUGAGUGACGGUAAUGGGUAAAGAAGCACCGGCUAACUACGUG